CCCAAAACGGGCGAUGUGCAACCUCAACCCCGGUUACACAGCCCGACAGUAGAUAAUACAUUUCACACAGACGCUAAAAGUGGCGGUUUUAAUUCACAUCUGUCGAUUAUCAUUAUAAUUUAGCGUUUAUUCAAACAGCGGCACGGAUCCGUCGAUGAUGCUGGCACUGUCCACUCCUUCAUCACGCACAACAAAAACACAGCAGCGGCGGAUUGAGAUGGACUGACAUCUUUCUCUGCAGGGGAUGUUUGGGGUCAUUGUCAUGGUGGAAGAUCCAUCCACGACCCAUCGUCAUUAUUCUGGGGGAGAGAAGGAGGUUCUCAUCCAAGAUUUGACAGUACACGGCCCCAUUCGUUGGCCCCUCAAUGCGGUGAAGUCAUCCCAGACCCUUAAAAACAAAACUGUUGCAAAUGAAUAAAAAAAAAAAAAAUGUUUGUAAUGAAA